rnacentral:tRNA from 1 species
AAUAUUAAAUCACUUAGUGAGCUGAGUUGAUACCUCAAAAGAAGUUUAAUACUUAAUAUUA